CCUUGGACCUUUAAAGGCCACCAGGAUGAGGCAAGAAGUCAAGAAGGUUCCUUUCGGCCUUAUAUAAUUGAUGUCUUGAACUAGGCACCUCAAACUGCGCAGUGUCUGCCCUGAAAGCCUGCGAUUUCUCAGCUGCUAGCCUUCCAAAGCUGUCUCUCCAUACAAAAGGCAUUCCAAUGGAGCAGAGCUUGUUUCUUGGUAAUCGAAGGCCACGUCUGCUUCAGGUCUGGCUGCUUACAUUCUGUGUUCUGCUUUUGCUCAGGACUGGUGGCGCUGUGAAAUGCAGACUGUGCUCUUCAAAGGGGCCUGGCAAGCCAUGCGAACCGAAGGAGAAGACAUGUAUGGGACCAUUCUGCCUGAAGAUAGAAAUAUUUUCAGGACAAAAUGGCAAAUUGACUAAUUACGUCAAAGAAUGUGGUGAAGCCAGUUCGAAAAAACUCUGUGGGACAGAGGUGACAUCGGGAGAUAAAAAGAAAGUAUCAUGCUGUAAUAGCGACUUAUGUUUUGACUGAUCUUACUAUUCUAUUCUAAAGUUGUUUUCGCCUAUACAUGUAAAAGGGUGGGUAACCAAUCUUUCCCCUUUGAUAGACAUAAUAUUAGAACGUUUCAUAUCAUUUCUUUCGAUGGAGCCCAGGUCUUCCUCCUGCCAUUGCAAUUCAAAUGACAGACAAAAGCCCCAUGCAGACAUUCUGAUGCCACGUCUAAUAAUCACAUUCAGGGGAUGUU